UUUCCGUAGGUGAACCUGCGGAAGGAUCAUUACUGAGAGACGGGGUCUAACCGGCCCCAACUCUUCACCCGUGUUCACAAGCCUAGUUGCUUUGGCUGGUGGCAAACGUCACAUGCCAGUCAAAAGUCACACAAAAAUCUUAAAUCGUUGAACUCGAGUAAUCAGUGAAUAACUAAAACUUUCAACAACGGAUCUCUUGGUUCUGGCAUCGAUGAAGAACGCAGC
rnacentral:misc_RNA from 1 species